AGAAGACUUAAAUAGGGAUGCUCAUGAAAUUGAUAUAUUCCACCUUUAUUAUGCAAGUGCCAUGGGGCAUCUGAACUCAGCUAAGAGCAAGGUUGACUGUUAAAGGAAGGCCUCUCAACAUAGCAUGAACCCACAAGGCCACAGUCCUUAUGAGGACACACUCUUGGUAUGCAUAAGCUUCACUCUUGGGCACAGUCAGCAAGGGCCAUGACUGCUAAGCCCCAGAGGGGCUCUCUACAGGCAAUUCCCAUAGGGAGUAUCAGGGUGCAGGUCCCAGUGACUAGCCCUUAGAGGGGUGCUCCCUAUCCUUUUCCACCACAUUCUGCUUCAUCCACAGCCCAGCUGAUGACCAGGUAUACACUCUCCAAGUGCACAGAUCCCUGAGGGGAGGCUGCCUCCGACCAUUGCAAGCCAUCUUCCUAACUGAAAACAGCAGCUGGAUAGUGGCUUCAACAGAAUCUGUACUUGCCCAAUAUUCUGUGCUUGUGCUCUCCCUUCCUCAGCCCAGGAGCCCUGAUGACCCUGAGGGACCAGGCAAAAUCCUCCAAGACAAGAAAUCCAGUUUCCAGUGUGGUGCCUGGUACAUGGCAAGUGGCCAAAGCUGCCAAAAGGAAUUGUCACUUCAGCUCCCUAGCUGCCUCAUGUUGGCUCAAACCAAGGUGGCAACCAAAAAUGCCCAGAGGGCCCAGGAGGGAAUGGCAGUGAGGAGCAGGCCAGGUAUGCAGGUAUGCAGCCCUGAGACUGUACAGCCCUCCUAAAGUGUUCCUGCCACACAGCAGGGGUCCUCAUCACUUCAAAGACAUUGAGCUGAGCCCAGUGAGCUUCAAGCCAGUGGCAGAGCUACAAAUGGCGCUGAGGUUCCCAUGAUAUAUCUGUACACCACUGUGGGGCCUCAGGGUCUCAUCAUUGGGCUGCUUACAGGGCCAAGUGCCCAGGCAAAGCAGCCUUCUCCACAGCAGGGCUCAGCCACUGGAACCUCUGCCUUGGCAUCCUAGGAACACUAAUGUGUCUCAAUCUAUAAAGAGGACACCUUUUGUUUGUAUCUUAGAGAACUGAACCCAGACCCUCAUGCAUGUUAUUCAGGUGCUCUAUCUCUAACACCCCCAGCCCAACAAACUUUUUGAGCCUUUUGGUGGGUUUCCCAGCCUAGCAAAUGCUGGCAGACUCAUUACCUGUGAGCUAACAUCUGCCUUGCUUGUACAGUGGCCAAUAGUGGCCCAGGGAUAGGCCAGAGCCUUCUCCCAGGCCUUGAGGGCCCAGAUGAGAAGGUUAAGACAGGUGGAGAGACCAGUGAGAGGUCUUGC
ensembl:lncRNA